rnacentral:rRNA from 1 species
CCCUUAGAUGUUCUGGGCCGCACGCGCGCUACACUGAUGCAUUCAACGAGUUUCUUCCUGGUCCGAGAGGAAUGGGUAACCUUUUGAAAGUGCAUCGUGAUAGGGAUAGACUAUUGCAAUUAUUGGUCUUCAACGAGGAAUUCCUAGUAGACGUAGUUCAUCAGACUGCAUCGAUUACGUCCCUGCCUUUUGUACACACCGCCCGUCGCUCCUACCGAUUGAAUGCUCAGGUGAGCCAUUCGGACUUUCAUCAUGCUGGUUUCCAGUUUUGAUGAAGGAAAGUCUUGCGAACCUUAUCAUUUAGAGGAAGGAGAAGUCGUAACA